AAAAAUCAUAAUAGUUGAAGUAUGUGUACUUUUUCCAUGGUCAAUACAUUUUUUUCUUAUGAACAAUAAAAAUAAAAGUACGUGCGUGAAUUAGUUGACUAACAGAUGAAUUCAGGUUGCAGACAUCCUAAGGCUUGCUUGUCAACGAAUGAUGAUGAGGGUUUUAUUGGCGAUCUUAUCUUUCUCCUUGAUGUUUGAAAUUCCGUUAAGCGUCGUUAUAAAUGAAGAAAGAGAAAGAUACCUUAACUGCGACGUUUACACUCACAGCGCAGACAUUCCUACUCAAAAUACAAUUUGCCACCGUCACUUCACGCAACGAAAAUUUUACUGUAGGACAUGGCAAUGCGAAACUCCGAGAUGUCCAUUGAGACGGCAAAUCCCCCGGGCAAGGGACUGUUCAUAUUGUCCAAAUACAUGUACCCGUUGGGGUAAAAUCUACAACACAGGAGAUAAUUACCGUUGUCAGGAUGGGUCGAAUUUCUGCCUCUGUAUUGAAGGGGAGAACACCAUAUCUACAAGAAUGGCGACCUCAGUUUACAGCAUCUGUCGAUGAUUUAUAAAGUUGGUUCCUGUGGGUCAAAGAACUUGCUACAUGCAUACUUUUUUCAAAUUAAAAGAACAUCAGUAUAAAUCUGUUAUUCAUGGUAGAAUGUUUUUCCGCCAAAUAGAAAACAUCUAUAGUUGUACAUUUAAAAAGAAAGUACUUAAAUGUUUUUGCGUCUACUUACAUGUAACUCAAUGUAGAAAGGGAAAAGUUCUUUUUGAAACCAAAUCAUGUAUUAAUAUUGAUUAAAAAAUGAACAAUUGGU